rnacentral:rRNA from 1 species
GAUGAACGCUGGCGGCGUGCCUAAUACAUGCAAGUCGAGCGAACGGACGAGAAGCUUGCUUCUCUGAUGUUAGCGGCGGACGGGUGAGUAAUAUGUGGAUAACCUACCUAUAAAACUGGGAUAACUUCGGGAAACCGGAGCUAAUACCGGGAAAUAUUUUGAACGGAAUGGUUCAAAAGUGAUAGACGGUUUUGUGGUGUCUUAGAGAUGGAAGACGGCUGCAUUGGCCAGUUGUUAAGGGAACGGCUUACCAAGGGAGGGUGGGAUACCGGACAUGAGAGGGAGAUGGGCAAGACUGGAAGUGAGAAACGGUCCAAACUCCUAGGGGAGGCAGCAGUAGAGAAUCUUCCGCGAUGGGCGAAAGCCGAACGGAGCAACGCCGCGUGAGUGAUGAUGGUCUUCGGAUCGUAAAACUCUGUUAGUAGGGAAGAACAAAUGUGUAAGUAACUGUGAACAUCUUGACGGUACCUAAUCAGAAAGCCACGGCUAACUACGUG